UCGGACAACAGAUGCUCCAGGAAGAGAGGGAAGAAGUUGCUGUUGAAGUGGCAGUGGAAGACCUGCAACCCGACAGGGAUGAUUCCACUCCUCCAUCGGGAAACAGCCUUCUCCCACUUGCCCUCCCCACCCUCAAUCUGCCCCAGCAGAGAACAGCAGCCCCACCUCUCCCAGGGAAGAACAGCUUGGAGCCCACACCAGCCUCCUUGCAUAAGCUGGUCCCAGAAGAGGCGACAGCUUCACCUCAGGACCACCCACCCCUCCCAAGCCACUGAGGAGUUUGGGAUCAGCCCAGGAGCUCUUCACUCAAUAGCUGGUGCUGAAACACGUGUAGGGCUGCUCCCCACCGCCUGCACGUUAAAAUCACCUGAGGAGCUGUGCAAUAAUACCGAGGCCCAGGCCUCACCCAGAACAGUUAAAUCGGAAUCUCUUCGGGCGGGCCCAGCAUCGGUGUUUUUCAAAGCUCCCCAAGUGCCACCAGGGUUAAAUGCCUUUAUGCUAAUGGCACGGAUCCCGACCUGACCAGUGCAUCCCUCGAUCCCAGACCACCAGGGAGCUAUUUGACCCACUGCAUCCCUUUCCUCCAGACCCCCGGAGAGCCUUUCUGCGAGGAUUCCACCCUUGCCCCCUUGAACCCCGCUUCUUCCGCCCGGACCACACAACUCUCCCAAUCCACAAUAUGAUCACCCCAAAGACCCCCGCAGAUAGCCCCCAUGACUCCCAGAGCGCAAAGCAUUCCCCUCCCCCUCGGGUCUGUCGUUUGUGCCAGAUCGGCCCCAGCCCAGCCCGCUCCUGCCCGCGAGCCCCGGCCGCUGGCCAGCGUCUCACCGCAAUCGUAGCCGGCGAAGCCUAAUCCCACGGCUGGCGGGAGCCAGGUGCGAGCCAAUGCGCCUGCGCGCACUUCUAGGGCUUCCCCAGCCUCUCCCUCCGCCCCCGCCCAGCGAUUGGCUCCGCGCGGCCCCCGGGCGCAGCUCCGGCAGGUGACUGCGCCUGAGGCUGCCGCCGCCAUGUUUGUCACGGGCGCUUGCCCUUAGCGACCAAAAUUAAAAGCGGACACUGGCAAAUAGGGUCAGGUUGCCUGGAUUCCUGACCGGCUCAACCCCUCUCCUUUACCUCCACGAUAGCUUAAUGUCAUUUCAGUUGAAACCAACACGUUUUUUCUAAGCGCUCACCUUCCUUCCCUCCUUGCCUAGUACUCGUUGGGAGAACAAAGAGAGGUCAGCAUCCUCCAUUGAGUCUUGUGGUCUGAGCGGAUGCACAGCUGCAGCCGACUUGGAGGUGUCAGCGGCUCGAUCUGGGACUCCCUGAUGCUGCAUCAUGAGCCCUUCAAGGGUGGACAGGUCCAGGUUGAGCUGUGGGCACCAGGGCUCUAGCCACAGGAGCCAGGGCUGAAGGUGGGAAACAGCCACCAGGGCCUGAAUGAGCAACCAUGCAGCACAACCUCUUUGUAUUAAUAACGGCAAUAAUAAAACCUAAGGAGUACUGA